UGAGGAAACUGAGGACAAUGAGAUUGAGU
rnacentral:piRNA from 1 species